rnacentral:rRNA from 1 species
AUGCAAGUCGAGCGAGGUAGCUUGCUACCUAGCGGCGAACGGGUGAGUAACACGUAGGUAACCUGCCUUUAAGACUGGGAUACCCAGACGAAAGUUUGGCUAAUACCGGAUAACAACGGGGACGGCAUCGCCCCCGCUUGAAAGCCGCGCUUGCGGCGCUUUUAGAUGGACCUGCGGCACAUUAGCUAGUUGGCGGGGCAACGGCCCACCAAGGCGAGGAUGUGUAGCCGACCUGAGAGGGUGACCGGCCACAAUGGGACUGAGACACGGCCCAUACUCCUACAGGAGGCAGCAGUAGGGAGUUUUCGGCAAUGGGCGAAAGCCUGACCGAGCAACGCCGCGUGAGUGAUGAAGGUCUUCGGAUUGUAAAGCUCUGUUGCGAGGGACGAACAACGCGGCCAGGAAAUGGGCCGCGCCUGACGGUACCUCGCCAGAAAGUGACGGCUAACUACGUGCCAGCAGCCGCGGUAAUACGUAGGUCACGAGCGUUAUCCGGAAUUAUUGGGCGUAAAGAGUGAGCAGGCGGCAUGGCAAGUCUGAGGUGAAAGCGUGGGGCUCAACCCCAUACAGCCUUGGAAACUACCAAGCUAGAGUGCGCGAGAGGUAAACGGAACUCCAUGUGUAGCGGUGAAAUGCGUAGAUAUAUGGAAGAACACCGGUGGCGAAGGCGGUUUACCAGCGCUGCACUGACGCUCAGUCACGAAAGCGUGGGGAGCAAAUAGGAUUAGAUACCCUAGUAGUCCACGCCGUAAACGAUGAUGACUAACUAUUCGAGUGAUCGAGUGGUGAAGCUAACGCAUUAAGUCAUCCGCCUGGGAAGUACGGUCGCAAGACUGAAACUUAAAGGAAUUGACGGGACCCCGCACAAGUAGUGGAGCAUGUGGUUUAAUUCGAANUACGCGGAAAACCUUACCAGAACUUGACAUGGAGACUACCCCCCGGGCAACGCCGGGGAACUACUACUCCACAGGUGGUGCAUGGUUGUCGUCAGCUCGUGUCGUGAGAUGUUAGGUUAAGUCCUGCAACGAGCGCAACCCUUGUCGCUAGUUACCAUCAUUCAGUUGGGGACUCUAGCGAGACUGCCGAUGCAAAUCGGAGGAAGGUGGGGAUGACGUCAAAUCAGCAUGCCCUUUAUGUCCUGGGCAACACACGUGCUACAAUGGCCGUUACAAAGAGACGCGAUGCCGCGAGGCGGAGCAAAUCUCAAAAAGGCGGUCUCAGUUCAGAUUGGAGUCUGCAAUUCGACUCCAUGAAGGCGGAAUUACUAGUAAUCGCGAAUCAGCAUGUCGCGGUGAAUACGUUCCCGGGGUUUGUACACACCGCCCGUCAAACCAUGAGAGGUGGCAAUGCUUGAAGCCGCUGUCCCAACCGCAAGGGGGGAGGCGUCUAGGGCAGGGCCGCUGAUUGGGGUUAA